UUUAAGCACUGCAGGAGGUUCUCAUCUCCUUUCUUGAGCUGUGUUACAGCCUGCUAGACUGCAGUUUGGUUAAGGAUCUGCUGAUUCUAGCCCACAGACUGAUUUCUCAACUUGAUCUCAUCAUGAUAUUGCCUUGUCACCUGGUCUACCAUCUUCAGGACUGCCUGCUUGCAUUGCUCAGGUGUUUCCAUGGCUGUAUGUGCAGUCACAGUAAAUCCAUGAACCACAGCCCCAUCAGGGCGGCUGAAAUCUAACAUCUGGUGUAACUGUACAAACCUGACCUUAGGUCACGGUAAGUAUUGUAUUGUUGAUGAUGGAUACGCUUUUUUCAUUACAAUGC
rnacentral:lncRNA from 1 species